UUUCAUAUGAGUGUUAAUUUUAUUAUCGAAUCUCUUGCUGUUUGUCGUUAAAUCUAUUUUGAAUCGCAAUCCCACUUAGCUUACUGGACUCAUCUAAGUCAACUUAUUAGUCUCAUAAAUUUAUUAUUACGGAAUAUAAAGUUGGAUUUAUCUUAGUCGGUAAUAAUAAAAAACCGACAUAUGAGAGUUUAUUUAUUUUAUUUUAUUUUUUAAGAAUAAAAAUGUAUGAAACUUAUCUAAACUAUUGUUCAUUUUGGAUUUGAUCACUCGCCCUUUCAAAUAUAAGAGUUUGGAUUCAGAGCGGUCCUUGUCGUAGUAAUUUAGACAUAGUUUAGUACUAUAGGGAGGCUAAAAGUACUAAUUUUAUAUUAUAAAAGGUUUCAAAUUUUAACUGUGUUUUUAAUUUUUUUUUCUUUUUUAUAUUACAAAAUUGUGAUUGCGAACGUCAGUUAUAUGGUUUUUUUUUUUUUUUUUUUUUUNCUAUCCGCUUCGUUUAUUUCAUUUAGAAAUAAACUUAGCUGGAAAUGUGAAUCAACUAGGAUUCGAACUUGGGUCUCGGCUACCAACUAUCAAACCCUUUGCCAUUUGCUCUAGAGACGAUUGGUACGUCAGUUAUAUGUUUCUCCAAUUGUUAUUACAAUUGUAAUUUUAAGGCAAAUUAUAAGCGCUUUUAAAUUUUUAGAAUCUUUUAUACUAUAAAAAUUAUAUUUUUAUACAUUUUUUAUGAAUUAUACUACUAUACUAUCAAUAGUACUAAGUGGUUGGUGCUAUUGAGUUUUCAGUCGUUGGAUAAAAGGAUGUGCGGUUAAGUCUCCUAAGUUUGAGUGAGUGGUUAGUUGAAUAGUAUAAUCUAACGGAUGAAAAUGAUCUAAGAUUAAAUCUAACGGCAGAAAACUAAAUAGUACCAAAAACUUAGUACUAUAGUAUAGUAGUCUGACCUAUCUUUUAUAAUAUAAAAAUGAAUUAAAGAUAUUUUAGUAGACCAAAGGUAACGUCAAAACUCUAAUACUAUAUUAAAGAAUAUGAAAUAAUUAUUAUUCUGCAAGCGUUUAAACUUGUCAACAAUGGUAUUUGUAAAUAUUUAUAUUCAACAUAUACUUUAUAGGCUAUAAUUAAGUGUUUACCUUGGUUUCAAUAAAAAAGAAAAAAAAAAUUGUUCUAUUGAAAGUGCUCGAUGAGAAUCAAAGCCCGAUAUUACGGACGGCGACUCAAAUAAUAACCACUAGACCAGUAAUAGUUAUUACCUCACGCUCUUUGACAAAAGAAAUACUAGGACUCUGUUUGGAAUUACAGAAAUACUGCGCUCUAUGUGAUGAAAAAAUAUGAUGAAACAAUAUUUUGUUUGUUUUUGUAUAUAAAUUUAUGUUGCAGAUAAAUCGUAAUGAGACGGCUAUAAUAUACUUUAUAUUUGUUUAAUAAUAUUGUAUGAUUUUCAGUAUCU
rnacentral:lncRNA from 1 species